AUUGAACGCUGGCGGUAGGCCUAACACAUGCAAGUCGAACGAGUGGCGGACGGGUGAGUAAUGUCUGGGAAACUGCCUGAUCGCGGGGGAUAACUACUGGAAAUGGUAGCUACUACCGCAUACUAUCGGAUCUGCCCAGAUGGGCUUAGCUAGUAGGUGGGGUAAAGGCUCACCUAGGCGACGAUCCCUAGCUGGUCUGAGAGGAUGACCAGCAAGACUGGAACUGAGACACGGUCCAGACUCCUACGGGAGGCAGCAGUGGGGAAUAUUGAACAAGGGGCGCAAGCCUGAUGCAGCCAUGCCGCGUGUAUGAAGAAGGCCUUCGGGUUGGAAAGUACUUUCAGCGGGGAGGCGUUACCCGCAGAAGAAGCACCGGCUAACUCCGUGCCAGCAGCCGCGGUAAUUC
rnacentral:rRNA from 1 species